GAAGUACGCCGGACCGCCGCUGGUGCUGGCCCGCAAGGGGUGACGAUCCGUCGUCAUGUGGAAACACCGCACUGGAGGAACGUCCGGACUGCACAGGGCAGCGCAGGAGCUAACGGCUCUCCACCGUGAGGUGAGGAUCAGAGCAACAGAGACGAGUCCGAUCGCCCAUCAAGGUAGCCGAGGUGUUCUAUGAAGUGCCGGCGAAAGCCGGCAAGGCAGAUGGCGCAAGCCAUCUGACCCAGGCGCAAGCCUGGCUUCAUAGCCACCCCGGUCGCCGGAGGCGACCGGGGUGAAACGGGCAAUCUCUGCGCGCAGCAAUACCAAGUAGGUCAACGUCGAGGCGGCCCGCUGAGUUGACGGGUAGGUAGCACCGAGCCGGGGAGCGAUUCCCGGCCCAGAUUAAUGGCGGUCACGCCGCAUCUGCCGCAAGGCCGGUGCGGUGCACAGAAUCCGGCUUACAGGCGUACUUCAUCC
rnacentral:RNase_P_RNA from 1 species